UACAGAGGGUGCGAGCGUUGUCCGGAAUCACUGGGCGUAAAGGGCGCGUAGGUGGCGCGACAAGUCAGUGGUGAAAGUUCGACGCUCAACGUCGAAUCGGCCACUGAUACUGUUGGGCUUGAGCACUGUAGAGGCUAAUGGAAUUCCGGGUGUAGCGGUGGAAUGCGUAGAGAUCCGGAAGAACACCGGUGGCGAAGGCGGCAACCUGGCUCGUAACUGACGCUCAUACACGACAGCAUGGGGAGCGAACGGG
rnacentral:rRNA from 1 species